UACAGAGGGUGCGAGCGUUAAUCGGAAUUACUGGGCGUAAAGCGUGCGUAGACGGUUAUCUAAGUCGGAUGUGAAAGCCCCGGGCUCAACCUGGGAAUUGCAUUCGAUACUGGAUAGCUAGAGUUCGGCAGAGGGAAGCGGAAUUUCCGGUGUAGCGGUGAAAUGCGUAGAUAUCGGAAGGAACAUCAGUGGCGAAAGCGGCUUCCUGGACCAGAACUGACGAUCAGGCACGAAAGCGUGGGGAGCAAACAGG
rnacentral:rRNA from 1 species